rnacentral:lncRNA from 1 species
GAUUGGGAGCUAGGAGAGGACACUGUUCGUCCAUAUGGACAGUGCUGUGCUUCAGCUUUAUCUCCAGAGGGAUAAGAUACAACUGUUUGUCUCUGUUCAUCUUCCUCUGUUCCAAGUUCAGUUUUUCCACGUGAACCUUGAAAGGGGAUUCGGGGAGUAGUUUUGGAGCAACAGGAGUGGGCAGGAAUCCAUACUCCGCAGUCUCACACUGAAGGUCCUCCAUCCCACUCGACCCACUCAGCUGAUCCCC